AGCAGCCGCGGUAGUUCCAGCUCCAAUAGCGUAUAUUAAAGUUGUUGCAGUUAAAAAGCUCGUAGUUGAAUUUCGGGAUUUGUCAGUUGGUCGGGCUUCACUGUCCGUACUGGCUUGAUGGAUUCUUACCUUCUGAAUAACCAGCAUGCUAUUAAGUUAGUGCGUUGGGGAAGCAGAUCUAUUACCUUGAAAAAUUAGAGUGCUUAAAGCGGGCUUGUGCUUGAAUAGAUUAGCAUGGAAUAAUAAAAUAGGACGGCAUGGUUCUAUUUUGUUGGUUUCUAGGAUCACCGUAAUGAUUAAUAGGGAUAGUUGGGGGCAUUAGUAUUCAAUUGUCAGAGGUGAAAUUCUUGGAUUUAUUGAAGACUAACUUCUGCGAAAGCAUUUGCCAAGGAUGUUUUCAUUAAUCAAGAACGAAAGUUAGGGGAUCGAAGACGGUCAGAUACCGUCGUA
rnacentral:rRNA from 1 species